rnacentral:rRNA from 1 species
UACGUAGGCAGCAAGCGUUGUUCGGAAUUACUGGGCGUAAAGAGUGCGUAGGCGGUUCUGCAAGUUUGUCGUGAAAUCUCCCGGCUUAACUGGGAGGGUGCGGCGAAGACUGCGGAGCUGGAGUGUGGGAGAGGUAAGCGGAAUUCCUGGUGUAGCGGUGAAAUACGUAGAGAUUGGGAAGAACACCAGUGGCGAAGGCGGCUAUCUGGACGGUUUCUGACGCUAAGACGCGAAAGCGUGGGGAGCAAACAGG